AAUUGAAGAGUUUGAUCCUGGCUCAGAUUGAACGCUGGCGGCGUGGCUAAAGCAUGCAAGUCGAACGAGAACCCAGCAAUGGGGGACAGUGGCGGAAGGGCGAGUAAUGCAUUCCUACGUGCCUCGAGGUGGGGGAUAGGUCGGGGAAACCCGGCGUAAUACCCCAUGUCCUCUCCGGAGAAAAGGUUUACCGCCUUGAGAGCGGGGAAUGUCCUAUCAGGUAGUUGGUGAGGUAAUGGCUCACCAAGCCAAUGACGGGUAGCGGGUGUGAGAGCAUGACCCGCCGCAUCGGGACUGAGACACUGCCCGGACUCCUACGGGAGGCUGCAGCGACGAAUAUUCCGCAAUGCGCGAAAGCGUGACGGAGCGACGCCGCGUGCAGGAUGAAGCGGCUCUGCCGUGUAAACUGCUGUCAGGGUAUAGAAAAACUGAUCAUACCCAAAGGAAGGGCCUGCUAAUCUCGUGCCAGCAGCAGCGGUAAUACGAGAGGCCCGAGCGUUAAUCGGAAUCACUGGGCUUAAAGGGUGCGUAGGCGGACGUGCAAGUGCUUCGUGAAAUCCCCCGUCUCAACCGGGGAACUGCGGGGCAGACUGCAUGUCUUGAGGCAGGUAGAGGUCGCCGGAACGCUAGGUGGAGCGGUGAAAUGCGUAGAUAUCUAGCGGAACGCCCGAGGUGAAGACGGGCGACUGGGCCUGUCCUGACGCUGAGGCACGAAAGCGUGGGGAGCAAACAGGAUUAGAUACCCUGGUAGUCCACGCCGUAAACGAUGCGCACUAGAUCGGGGCGGCUCUGACGUCGUCCCGGUCGUCGUAAAAACACUAAGUGCGCCGCCUGGGGAGUACGGUCGCAAGGCUAAAACUCAAAGGAAUUGACGGGGGCUCACACAAGCGGUGGAGCAUGUUGCUUAAUUCGAAGCGACGCGAAGAACCUUAUCCUGGACUUGACAUGCACGGAUUAGUCUUGUGAAAGCAGGAUGACACCUUCGGGUGGAACGUGCACAGGUGCUGCAUGGCUGUCGUCAGCUCGUGCUGUGAAGUGUCGGGUUAAGUCCCUCAACGAGCGCAACCCCUGUCGCUAGUUGCCAGCGAGUCAUGUCGGGGACUCUAGCGAGACUGCCGGUGUCAAACCGGAGGAAGGUGGGGAUGACGUCAAGUCCUCAUGGCCUUUAUGUCCAGGGCUGCAAACGUGCUACAAUGGCGUAUACAAAGCGAUGCGAGGCCGCGAGGCGGAGCAAAUCGCAAAAAGUACGCCCCAGUUCAGAUUGCAGUCUGCAACUCGACUGCAUGAAGUCGGAAUCGCUAGUAAUCGGAGAUCAGCUACGCUCCGGUGAAUACGUUCCUGAGCCUUGUACACACCGCCCGUCAAGUCAUGGAAGCCGGGAGCGCCCGAAGUCGCCUCAUCUCAGAGGUGCCUACGGCGAGCUCGGUGACUGGGACUAAGUCGUAACAAGGUAGCCGUAGGGGAACCUGCGGCUGGAUCACCUCCUUUCUA
rnacentral:rRNA from 1 species